CGGGGAGUAGCUCAGUCUGGUAGAGUACUAGUUUUGGGAACUAGGUGCCGCAAGUUCGAAUCUUGUCUCCCCGACCA
rnacentral:tRNA from 1 species